rnacentral:rRNA from 1 species
UACGUAGGGUGCAAGCGUUGUCCGGAAUUAUUGGGCGUAAAGAGCUCGUAGGCGGUUUGUCACGUCGGCCGUGAAAACUCGGGGCUCAACCCCGAGCCUGCGGUCGAUACGGGCAGACUAGAGUGCUGUAGGGGAGACUGGAAUUCCUGGUGUAGCGGUGAAAUGCGCAGAUAUCAGGAGGAACACCGGUGGCGAAGGCGGCGAGCUGGCCUGUACCUGACGCUGAGGCGCGACAGCGUGGGGAGCAAACAGG